rnacentral:lncRNA from 1 species
GAGAGCUAAAGAAUCAAAUUCUGCAAACUGCAGAUUUUGAGCUCUCGGGGACCGGUCCCUGGUGGGAGAGACCGGUCCCCGAACGCAUGCAGAUUGAGACAGCCGAAAAAUCGGCUAAGUCCUGGAAGGAUAGCUCUCGGGAACCGGUCUCUGCCUGAGAGACCGGUCCCCCAGAGACCGGUCCCCCUAGGAGAGACCGGAUGCAUCGCGCGCAGCAGCUCUGGCUGCGCUGGGAGAGCUCUCGGAGACCGGUCCCUAGUCGGGGAGACCGGUCCCCGAGCCCGAAAUCUGCCCAGUCCAGGCUGUGUCAAGGAGUAAAAGGUGAGGGGUUUAUUAGCAAUUUUGCAACCCAAGGGUUAUGUUGGGGCUGAGAGAGCCUUCAUCUCUCAUUCCCUCACCCUCUCACACUCUCUUCUCUCUCUCUCUCUCUCUAGAAGACAAAAGAGAAGAAGAAGAAGAAAGGAAGAAAAGAAGGAGAAGAAGAGGAAGAAAGUGGAGAAGAAGAAGAAGAAGUGAAGAAACUCCUUCUCCUUCAUCUCUAGCUUGAAGAAAAAGGAAGCUUUGAGGUAAGCUUUGAUCCCAAGUGUAGUAAAACCCUAGAAUGAGUUUGAAUGACCUAGAAAUGGGUUUUAACGGAAUGAUUAAAGAGUUUUGAAGCUUUCUUUUGCUUCUAAAGAGGUCAAAACCUUGGUUUGCUAUAGAGGUGAGCUUGGGCCACCUCUAAUGGUGAAAUCCAAACUAGG